AUGAGUACAUAGGAAGACUCCUACAUCUAGUGGAUGACAAUAAAACCCACUGGCAUGCUUUAAAAACAUAAACAUAUAUGAUUGUCAUCAUGUUAAAGGUGACACAGUCAAACAAAUGCAUCUUGCAGCUGCAGCAGCAAGGGGUGAAGAAUGAAGAUGGAGAAUGGCAAAGUGUGUUCCCAGAGCAGUUUGUUAGAUCCUGGCAGGUGCAAGGGAAGCUCUGCCUGCCACACAGAUAAGAGCUGGACCUUACUGAUAAUGGGGAUCCUUGAGUCUAUGCUGCCCAACCAGCUCACCCGGGAACUGCAAAGAGAAAUGGAAAGGAGGUGGAGACAAAUUUGGGUCUUCAUGGAGACAGAUCUGAGCCCUCUCCCUCAGGAGUGAAAAGGAGGAGAUUCCUGUUACCAAACAGCAGGGUCUGGUCCCAUUUGAACACAACAUUUAUAGCAGUUAU